AGAGUUUGAUCAUGGCUCAGAACGAACGCUGGCGGCAGGCUUAACACAUGCAAGUCGAACGCGUGUAGCAAUACACGAGUGGCGCACGGGUGAGUAACGCGUGGAUAUCUGCCUUUUGGUUCGGAAUAACUCCGGGAAACUGGAGCUAAUACCGGAUGGUUCCUUCGGGAUAAAGAUUUAUCGCCAAAAGAUGAGUCCGCGUACGAUUAGCUAGUUGGUGAGGUAAUGGCUCACCAAGGCGACGAUCGGUAGCUGGUCUGAGAGGAUGAUCAGCCACACUGGAACUGAGACACGGUCCAGACUCCUACGGGAGGCAGCAGUGGGGAAUAUUGGGCAAUGGAGGAAACUCUGACCCAGCCAUGCCGCGUGAAUGAUGAAGGCCUUAGGGUUGUAAAGUUCUUUCGCCGAUGAAGAUAAUGACGGUAGUCGGAGAAGAAGCCCCGGCUAACUUCGUGCCAGCAGCCGCGGUAAUACGAAGGGGGCUAGCGUUGUUCGGAAUUACUGGGCGUAAAGCGAGCGUAGGUUGCUCGAUAAGUCAGUGGUGAAAGCCCAGAGCUCAACUCUGGAACUGCCAUUGAAACUGUCGAGCUGGAAUCUCAGAGGGGGUAGCGGAAUUCCAAAUGUAGGGGUGAAAUCCGUAGAUAUUUGGAGGAACACCGGUGGCGAAGGCGGCUACCUGGAUGAGUAUUGACACUGAGGCUCGAAAGCGUGGGGAUCAAACAGGAUUAGAUACCCUGGUAGUCC
rnacentral:rRNA from 1 species